AAAACACAACUAAACUCAGUAGCAAAACUGCUGUACAAACCAGCGAAAAAUCCCAGCCGAACACCUCAGUUUUUAACUCCAAAAAAUCAUAAAAACACAGCUCGAAAACCAGCUGUAAAUUCGUCCAGAAACAGGCCCUAAACGACCAAAAUUCGCCACCUAAAAUAAGCCCAUAAAUGCAGCCAUUAAAGUUGUCUCCAAACCACCAAAUUCCAGCUCAAAUUUCCCCGAAAACGGAGUGAAAUCACCCCUCAAAACACACCAAAUGAAACUGAAAAGAGCCACCCAAUUUCAGUCAUGAAAAGCUGAAAAAUCAGCAAUGAAAACAGGCUAAAAAAGCCUCAGAAACAACUGAAAAAUGAGCAACAAACACCAUUACAACCGUGGUAGUUCCUCCUCAAAGUACGGUGCAAUUGACUUGGAGUCAAACUCGAGUUCGCGAUGAAGUUUUGCACCCCGGUCAUUGGUCAGGCCCCCACGCCUCUUUCGACUUUGGAUCCAAGAUGUAAUAUUCUCCAGAUUCAUCAAUAAAGGCCUGUUUAUUAUGUUUAUUUUUUCCCCAUUUCAUCUUACUUAUGAUUUUGAUUAGUUAUUGUUCUUUUAUGUUAGUUUGCUUUAGUAGUCUAUGUAUUUUUAUGAUACUACAUGAUUCUCUGCUAUGACUCUCUUUAGGAGCUACGUUUACCAUGCUUUGGUCAUUUGCCGUGGUAAUUGGACUGUUGAAUGAAUUAAUAUGUAUGAUAUGGUUUACAUUGUUUCUUUU
rnacentral:lncRNA from 1 species